rnacentral:rRNA from 1 species
AUUGAACGCUGGCGGCAGGCUUAACACAUGCAAGUCGAGCGAGCGGCGGACGGGUGAGUAAUGUCUGGGAAACUGCCUGAUGGAGGGGGAUAACUACUGGAAACGGUAGCUAAUACCGCAUACCAUCAGAUGUGCCCAGAUGGGAUUAGCUAGUUGGUGGGGUAAAGGCUCACCUAGGCGACGAUCCCUAGCUGGUCUGGGAGGAUGACCAGCCACACUGGAACGGAGAAAAGGGCCAGACUCCUAAGGGGGGGAGGAGUGGGGAAGUGUGCACAAUGGGCGCAAGCCUGAUGCAGCCAUGCCGCGGGUGAGAAGAAGGCCUUCGGGUUGUAAAGCACUUUCAGCGAGGAGACGUGACUCUCAGAAGAAGCACCGGCUAACUCCGUGCCAGCAGCCGCGGUAAUUC